AUUGAACGCUGGCGGCAGGCCUAACACAUGCAAGUCGAACGAGUGGCGGACGGGUGAGUAAUGUCUGGGAAACUGCCUGAUGGAGGGGGAUAACUACUGGAAACGGUAGCUAAUACCCCAUACCAUCGGAUGUGCCCAGAUGGGAUUAGCUAGUAGGUGGGGUAAAGGCUCACCUAGGCGACGAUCCCUAGCUGGUCUGAGAGGAUGAUCAGCAACACUGGAACUGAGACACGGUCCAGACUCCUACGGGAGUCAGCAGUGGGGAAUAGUGGACGAUGGGCGCAAGCCUGAUCCAGCCAUACCUCGUUGGUGAAGAAGGCCGUCGGGUUGUAAAGCCCUUUUGUUGGGAAAGCGGUACCCAAAGAAUAAGCACCGGCUAACUUCGUGCCAGCAGCUGCGGUAAUUC
rnacentral:rRNA from 1 species